GGCUCAGGAUGAACGCUGGCGGCGUGCUUAACACAUGCAAGUCGAACGAAGCACUUUGAUUUCUUCGGAAUGAAGAGUGACUGAGUGGCGGACGGGUGAGUAACGCGUGGGUAACCUGCCUCAUACAGGGGGAUAACAGUUAGAAAUGACUGCUAAUACCGCAUAAGCGCACGAUAUCGCAUGAUAUUGUGUGAAAAACUCCGGUGGUAUGAGAUGGACCCGCGUCUGAUUAGCUAGUUGGUGGGGUAACGGCCCACCAAGGCGACGAUCAGUAGCCGACCUGAGAGGGUGACCGGCCACAUUGGGACUGAGACACGGCCCAAACUCCUACGGGAGGCAGCAGUGGGGAAUAUUGCACAAUGGGCGAAAGCCUGAUGCAGCGACGCCGCGUGAGCGAAGAAGUAUUUCGGUAUGUAAAGCUCUAUCAGCAGGGAAGAAAAUGACGGUACCUGACUAAGAAGCACCGGCUAAAUACGUG
rnacentral:rRNA from 1 species